AGCCAAUCACACGGCUAAGCGGCAGCGACGGCGUGAGGUGCGGCCUCUUGAGGCAGAGGAGUGGGGCGGGCUGUGUGACGGGCUUCGGCCACAGCCAAUCGUAAGUGAAGACGGCGAGCGGGGUGCCCCUGCGUCAGAACAAAUGCGGCAAAUCGCUUGGGAGGGAGGGGAAGCGCUCCUCCACCAGCGGGCAUUUUUGCGCUCACGCGCGACUGCUCCAGGCUGUCAUUGCUCUCCUGACCGUCUACGAGAAGACUGGGAAACUUGAGAGGCUUUCCCAUUGAGUGUUUUCAAUGGGAAAUGUCUAACUGCUCUGUGGGUGUACACCACGGCCAGUUGCUAAUUUUGGAACACUUGUGAAUCCUGGGCCCAGAGUCAUGACCAAUACUGGAUUCCCCAGGAUCAACCAUCUGAGCAGAUACCUUGGAAUGUCCCCAGAUUUCAGAGCCUCGGACCAGCAGCAACACACUCUGAAGUAGGUCUCAGAAGACAAAAAGCUGAAAUCAACUCAUGCUUCCUGCUACACAGAAUCCACUGAGAGGAAAAGGAAACUUCACCGAAACUUCAGAAAGCUACAGAAAUGACAUCCAUUUUCACAAUCCCAGAAGGAAAGAUGCAUCUGAAGGGAAUAAAAACAGAGCAAUGGAAGAGUAUUUGUUAAAAUAAAUGGCUUUGACAGGGCAUUUUCUCUAAAGGUCUCCUUUGCCUCAAAUAGUACUCCUGCCUUCAGUCCAUCUUGCAUGCCACCCAGCUGUGGGCAUCCUGGCAGUUGCUGCCAUGUCCUUGCCUAAAAGCCUCCACCCCCAACCAACCCACC
rnacentral:lncRNA from 1 species